GACGAACGCUGGCGGCGUGCCUAAUACAUGCAAGUCGAACGAACUCUGGUAUUGAUUGGUGCUUGCAUCAUGAUUUACAUUUGAGUGAGUGGCGAACUGGUGAGUAACACGUGGGAAACCUGCCCAGAAGCGGGGGAUAACACCUGGAAACAGAUGCUAAUACCGCAUAACAACUUGGACCGCAUGGUCCGAGCUUGAAAGAUGGCUUCGGCUAUCACUUUUGGAUGGUCCCGCGGCGUAUUAGCUAGAUGGUGGGGUAACGGCUCACCAUGGCAAUGAUACGUAGCCGACCUGAGAGGGUAAUCGGCCACAUUGGGACUGAGACACGGCCCAAACUCCUACGGGAGGCAGCAGUAGGGAAUCUUCCACAAUGGACGAAAGUCUGAUGGAGCAACGCCGCGUGAGUGAAGAAGGGUUUCGGCUCGUAAAACUCUGUUGUUAAAGAAGAACAUAUCUGAGAGUAACUGUUCAGGUAUUGACGGUAUUUAACCAGAAAGCCACGGCUAACUACGUGCCAGCAGCCGCGGUAAUACGUAGGUGGCAAGCGUUGUCCGGAUUUAUUGGGCGUAAAGCGAGCGCAGGCGGUUUUUUAAGUCUGAUGUGAAAGCCUUCGGCUCAACCGAAGAAGUGCAUCGGAAACUGGGAAACUUGAGUGCAGAAGAGGACAGUGGAACUCCAUGUGUAGCGGUGAAAUGCGUAGAUAUAUGGAAGAACACCAGUGGCGAAGGCGGCUGUCUGGUCUGUAACUGACGCUGAGGCUCGAAAGUAUGGGUAGCAAACAGGAUUAGAUACCCUGGUAGUCCAUACCGUAAACGAUGAAUGCUAAGUGUUGGAGGGUUUCCGCCCUUCAGUGCUGCAGCUAACGCAUUAAGCAUUCCGCCUGGGGAGUACGGCCGCAAGGCUGAAACUCAAAGGAAUUGACGGGGGCCCGCACAAGCGGUGGAGCAUGUGGUUUAAUUCGAAGCUACGCGAAGAACCUUACCAGGUCUUGACAUACUAUGCAAAUCUAAGAGAUUAGACGUUCCCUUCGGGGACAUGGAUACAGGUGGUGCAUGGUUGUCGUCAGCUCGUGUCGUGAGAUGUUGGGUUAAGUCCCGCAACGAGCGCAACCCUUAUUAUCAGUUGCCAGCAUUAAGUUGGGCACUCCGGUGAGACUGCCGGUGACAAACCGGAGGAAGGUGGGGAUGACGUCAAAUCAUCAUGCCCCUUAUGACCUGGGCUACACACGUGCUACAAUGGAUGGUACAACGAGUUGCGAACUCGCGAGAGUAAGCUAAUCUCUUAAAGCCAUUCUCAGUUCGGAUUGUAGGCUGCAACUCGCCUACAUGAAGUCGGAAUCGCUAGUAAUCGCGGAUCAGCAUGCCGCGGUGAAUACGUUCCCGGGCCUUGUACACACCGCCCGUCACACCAUGAGAGUUUGUAACACCCAAAGUCGGUGGGGUAACCUUUUAGGAACCAGCCGCCUAAGGUGGGACAGAUGAUUAGGGUG
rnacentral:rRNA from 1 species